rnacentral:rRNA from 1 species
GACAGAGGGGGCAAGCGUUGCUCGGAAUCACUAGGCGUAAAGGGCGCGUAGGCGGGAUGGCAAGUCAGUCGUGAAAUCUCUCGGCUCAACCGAGAAACGUCGGCUGAUACUGCCGUUCUUGAGGGAUGCAGAGGAGACUGGAAUUCCCGGUGUAGCGGUGAAAUGUGUAGAGAUCGGGAGGAACACCGGUGGCGAAGGCGGGUCUCUGGGCAUUUCCUGACGCUGAGGCGCGAAAGCGUGGGGAGCAAACGGG